rnacentral:rRNA from 1 species
CUACUGGAAACGGUAGCUAAUACCGCAUAACGUCGCAAGACCAAAGAGGGGGACCUUCGGGCCUCUUGCCAUCAGAUGUGCCCAGAUGGGAUUAGCUAGUAGGUGGGGUAACGGCUCACCUAGGCGACGAUCCCUAGCUGGUCUGAGAGGAUGACCAGCCACACUGGAACUGAGACACGGUCCAGACUCCUACGGGAGGCAGCAGUGGGGAAUAUUGCACAAUGGGCGCAAGCCUGAUGCAGCCAUGCCGCGUGUAUGAAGAAGGCCUUCGGGUUGUAAAGUACUUUCAGCGGGGAGGAAGGCGUUAAGGUUAAUAAGCCUGUCGAUUGCCCUUAUCCCCAGAAGGCCAACGGCUUAUUUGCAGG